rnacentral:rRNA from 1 species
ACAGGGAUUGCCCUAGUAACGGCGAGUGAAGCGGCAACAGCUCAAAUUUGAAAUCUGGCUCUUUCAGAGUCCGAGUUGUAAUUUGCAGAGGGCGCUUUGGCGUUGGCAGCGGUCCAAGUUCCUUGGAACAGGACGUCACAGAGGGUGAGAAUCCCGUACGUGGUCGCUGGCCUUCGCCGUGUAAAGCCCCUUCGACGAGUCGAGUUGUUUGGGAAUGCAGCUCUAAAUGGGAGGUAAAUUUCUUCUAAAGCUAAAUACUGGCCAGAGACCGAUAGCGCACAAGUAGAGUGAUCGAAAGAUGAAAAGCACUUUGGAAAGAGAGUCAAAUAGCACGUGAAAUUGUUGAAAGGGAAGCGCUUGCAGCCAGACUUGCCUGUAGUUGCUCAUCCGGGCUUUUGCCCGGUGCACUCUUCUGCGGGCAGGCCAGCAUCAGUUUGGGCGGUUGGAUAAAGGUCUCUGUCAUGUACCUCUCUUCGGGGAGGCCUUAUAGGGGAGACGUCAUGCAACCAGCCUGGACUGAGGUCCGCGCAUUUUGCUAGGAUGCUGGCGUAAUGGCUGUAAGCGGCCCGUCUUGAAACACGGACCAAGGAGUCUAACAUCUAUGCGAGUGUUUGGGUGUCAAGCCCGAACGCGUAAUGAAAGUGAACGGAGGUGGGACCCCAUUAGGGUGCACCAUCGACCGAUCCUGAUGUCUUCGGAUGGAUUUGAGUAAGAGCAUGGCUGUUGGGACCCGAAAGAUGGUGAACUAUGCUUGAAUAGGGUGAAGCCAGAGGAAACUCUGGUGGAGGCUCGCAGCGGUUCUGACGUGCAAAUCGAUCGUCAAAUUUGGGCAUAGGGGCGAAAGACUAA